UAGGGAAUCUUCGGCAAUGGGGGCAACCCUGACCGAGCAACGCCGCGUGAGUGAAGAAGGUUUUCGGAUCGUAAAGCUCUGUUGUAAGAGAAGAACGUGUGUGAGAGUGGAAAGUUCACACAGUGACGGUAACUUACCAGAAAGGGACGGCUAACUACGUGCCAGCAGCCGCGGUAAUACGUAGGUCCCGAGCGUUGUCCGGAUUUAUUGGGCGUAAAGCGAGCGCAGGCGGUUUAAUAAGUCUGAAGUUAAAGGCAGUGGCUUAACCAUUGUUCGCUUUGGAAACUGUUAGACUUGAGUGCAGAAGGGGGGAGUGGAAUUCCAUGUGUAGCGGUGAAAUGCGUAGAUAUAUGGAGGAACACCGGUGGCGAAAGCGGCUCUCUGGUCUGUAACUGACGCUGAGGCUCGAAAGCGUGGGGAGCAAACA
rnacentral:rRNA from 1 species